rnacentral:rRNA from 1 species
UACAGAGGUGCCAAGCGUUAGGCGGAAUCACUGGGCUUAAAGCGCGCGUAGGCGGAUGUUUAAGUGUCUUGUGAAAUCCCACGGCUCAACCGUGGAACUGCUGGGCAUACUGGACAUCUUGAGGCACUCAGGGGCGAGUGGAAUUCCUGGUGUAGCGGUGAAAUGCGCAGAUAUCAGGAGGAACACCGGUGGCGAAGGCGGGUCUCUGGGCAACAACUGACGCUGAGGAGCGAAAGCGUGGGGAGCGAACAGG